rnacentral:rRNA from 1 species
GUUGAAGCAUGAUCGCAAGGACAUGUGGAGCGCUUAGAAGUGAGAAUGCCGGUGUGAGUAGCGAAAGACGGGUGAGAAUCCCGUCCACCGAUUGACUAAGGUUUCCAGAGGAAGGCUCGUCCGCUCUGGGUUAGUCGGGUCCUAAGCUGAGGCCGACAGGCGUAGGCGAUGGAUAACAGGUUGAUAUUCCUGUACCACCAUUAUUCGUUUUAAGCGAUGGGGGGACGCAGUAGGAUAGGCGAAGCGUGCUGUUGGAGUGCACGUCCAAGCAGUGAGAUUGAGUGUUAGGCAAAUCCGGCACUCUUAAGAUUGAGCUGUGAUGGGGAGAGGAACUUGUUCCUCGAGUCGUUGAUUUCACACUGCCGAGAAAAGCCUCUAGCUAGAAUAACGGUGCCCGUACCGCAAACCGACACAGGUAGUCAAGAUGAGAAUUCUAAGGUGAGCGAGCGAACUCUCGUUAAGGAACUCGGCAAAAUGACCCCGUAACUUCGGGAGAAGGGGUGCUCUUUGAGGUUCACGCUUCGAAGAGCCGCAGUGAAUAGGCCCAAGCGACUGUUUAUCAAAAACACAGGUCUCUGCUAAACCGUAAGGUGACGUAUAGGGGCUGACGCCUGCCCGGUGCUGGAAGGUUAAGAGGAGUGGUUAGCGCAAGCGAAGCUACGAAUCGAAGCCCCAGUAAACGGCGGCCGUAACUAUAACGGUCCUAAGGUAGCGAAAUUCCUUGUCGGGUAAGUUCCGACCCGCACGAAAGGCGUAACGAUUUGGGCACUGUCUCAACGAGAGACUCGGUGAAAUCAUAGUACCGGUGAAGAUGCCGGUUACCCGCGACAGGACGGAAAGACCCCGUGGAGCUUUACUGUAGCCUGAUAUUGAAAUUCGGUACAGUUUGUACAGGAUAGGUAGGAGCCUUAGAAGCGUGAGCGCUAGCUUACGUGGAGGCAUUGGUGGGAUACUACCCUAAUUGUAUUGGAUUUCUAACCCGCAGCACUUAUCGUGCUGGGAGACAGUGUCAGGCGGGCAGUUUGACUGGGGCGGUCGCCUCCUAAAGAGUAACGGAGGCGCUCAAAGGUUCCCUCAGAAUGGUUGGAAAUCAUUCAUAGAGUGUAAAGGCAUAAGGGAGCUUGACUGCGAGACCUACAAGUCGAGCAGGGUCGAAAGACGGACUUAGUGAUCCGGUGGUUCCGCAUGGAAGGGCCAUCGCUCAACGGAUAAAAGCUACCCCGGGGAUAACAGGCUUAUCUCCCCCAAGAGUUCACAUCGACGGGGAGGUUUGGCACCUCGAUGUCGGCUCAUCGCAUCCUGGGGCUGUAGUCGGUCCCAAGGGUUGGGCUGUUCGCCCAUUAAAGCGGUACGCGAGCUGGGUUCAGAACGUCGUGAGACAGUUCGGUCCCUAUCCGUCGUGGGCGUAGGAAAUUUGAGAGGAGCUGUCCUUAGUACGAGAGGACCGGGAUGGACAUACCUCUGGUGUACCAGUUGUCGUGCCAACGGCAUAGCUGGGUAGCUAUGUAUGGACGGGAUAAGUGCUGAAAGCAUCUAAGCAUGAAGCCCCCCUCGAGAUGAGAUUUCCCAACUUCGGUUAUAAG